ACAAGGGGGGGAAUAAGCCCUUGUUUCCCCCUUUGUUCCCAAACGCAAUGUUUGGUUCCCGGGAACAGUAGUUCCCGGGAAUCUGGAACUAGCUGGUAUAAGACUGGAACUGCUGUUCCACCCGUUUUCGGGAACAAGCUAGUUCCUUGAUGAGAACAAGAUUAAUUAAAAUCUAAAUUUAAUUUUAAUGACAGUAAAUUAUUAAUUAAUCUAAUUAAUAUAUUUAAAUCAUUAUUUAUUACUUUAAUAAUUAAAUAAUUUAAAUAAUUUAUUAUUUAUAAUUAAAUAUUAAUAAUUAGAUAAUUAUUAUUAUUAAUUUAUUAUUUAUAAUUAAUUAUAAAUAAUUAAUAAUAUUCAUUAUUUUUUUAUUAAUAAUUAUUAAUAAUUAUUAUUCUUAAUGACAAUCGAUAUUAUUAUUAAUUUAUUAUUUAUAAUUAAUUAUUAAUAAUUAAUAAUUAUUAUUAUUUAUUAUUAAUUAUUAAUAAUUUUUAUUCUUAAUAAUUAGAUAAUCGAU
rnacentral:lncRNA from 1 species